ensembl:lncRNA
CAACAAGAAUAGACCAGCAGCGGGGGGGAGUUAGGGAGGGCCCAGGGAACAAAAUGACAAAACAGAGCUUUCCCACAUUUUCUACAUCGUGGCACACCAAUACAUCAUCGUCACCAGCGGAAGUGGGAGGCUCUUCAUAGAUUGAAAAGGGAAACUUCUUCCUGUGAGCAGUCCGUUCAUUUCUCUCCCAGACACAAGGCUGAAAUUUUAGUAUUACAGGUAUCACUGGGGAAUAUUUCUCAGCUGCAGGAAUUUAAUCAGAUGCUCUCUCUCAGUUACUCAUGUUGGAAUUAGUGACCAGCUUAAACCCCAACGGCUUUUUCACAUUAACUGAUGUCAAGCCAGGGGGUCUUCUAGGAUGCCAGCCAAAUGGACAACGCCAGAGUGAAGACCCAGGAGAUGAAAUCGGAUCAAGUGGGAAGAGUAGCAUAAGGAAUCUAAAGUGGAACAAGGCUUUGUUCAUCUGCAAGCGUGAUUUCCAUUACCUACAUCCUUGUGAAUAUGCAACAGACCACAGGAAAUUCAGCCAAUCAGGACCCAGCAGUGCCCUGACCCGUGGCUGGUCACGCAUGGAGCUGUUCACUGAAACUCUUAUCAGAUCUCAACAAGCAAACUGCACCGGUGAUGGAUAUGACACUUAAUAAGCAACAUCGAUAAACUGAAAAUAUGAAUUUCCUGCUGUUAGUGACUGUGGCAGAGACCACUAAUUGUCUACUAUGGCAACAGCUAACUAUGCAUCAAAAACGUGUCCUCCCCGCAGGGGCUUCUGCGUUGCCAGUUAUGUUCUGUUUCCGGAGCUGGAGCUGGUCACACAGGUGUACUAAGUUUGUGAAAAUGCAUUGGGCAGUACAUUUAUGACAUAUGCACUUUUCUGACUGUAUACUAUACUCUAAUAAAAAGUUUCCAGAAAACAAUUAUUCAGUCUACUGAGGAUAGAUAAAUAAAAAAAUAGACUGUGAAAAAGUUUGGUGUUCUUUUCCAGAUACAGAGUUAUUAGUGGAAGCAGAUGCCCCAGCAGGAAGUACACUUCCCAGAACCACUUCUUUCUAGAUUGGAGCCAUGUGACCCAUUCUCACCAAUAGAAUGUGAGCAGAAGUGAUGUGUGUCAUUUCUAGGCCACAGUGGUGAAGACACUGUGUACUUUCUCUACCUUCUCUUCCCAUCUGCCUAAUAGAUAAGGAAGAUUUCAUUGCCCUAGAACAUGACAGAUCAACAAGACGGAAAGCUGCCCUCUGACCGGGAACACCCACAUUGGACUUUUAGUCUCCUGUUGACAAUCCGUCCGCUUAAAAAUAAUAACCUCUGUAUAUUCCCUUGCAACUAGAUGUGGCCAUGUGAUUCAGUCCUGGUCAAUGAGAUAUAAAUGGUAUUUGCCAGCUAUGGCCUCCAGGAAAGCACUUUAAAGAUUCAGCUUUAUCUUGUCUGGAGCACAGACAUGCUGUAUGAGAUGUAGCAGCCAUCUUGUAUCCAUAAGAGCAUGCUAAAGAUGGCCGUGAACACCUCUUACAAAAACCACCCUGUCAAGAAAUAAAAAACUGCCAUUACUCCAGAAA